rnacentral:rRNA from 1 species
CCUACGGGCGGCAGCAGUGGGGAAUAUUGCACAAUGGGGGGAACCCUGAUGCAGCAACGCCGCGUGAGUGAUGACGGCCUUCGGGUUGUAAAGCUCUGUCUUCAGGGACGAUAAUGACGGUACCUGAGGCGGAAGCCACGGCUAACUACGUGACAGGAGCCGCGGUAAUACGUCGGGGGCGAGCGUUGUCCGGAUUUACUGGGCGUAAGGGGAGCGUAGGCGGACUUUUAAGUGAGAGGUGAAGUCCCCGGGGUCAACGCGAGUGCUGCAUUUCAAACUGGAAGUCUAGAGUGCAGGAGAGGAGAAUGGAAUGCGCAGUGUAGCGGUGAAAUGCGUAGAGAUUAGGAAGAACACCAGUGGCGAAGGCGACUCGCUGGACUGUAACUGACGCUGAGGCUCGAAAGCGUGGGGAGCAAACAGGAUUAGAUACCCGGGUAGUC